CAAGGGUGGCGGCGUGCCUAUACCGCGAGUCUCUUGGACUCCAAAAGGAGUGAGCGGCGGACCGGUGAGGAACACGUGGGCAAUCUGCCCAUUGGACUGGAAUAACGCCUGGAAACGGGUGCUAAGGCCAGAUAGGCACAGAAGAGGCCUCUCUUUUGUGGGAAAGAUGCUGUGGCAUCGCCAGUGGAGGAGCCCGCGGCGCAUUAGCUAGUUGGAGGGGUAAAGGCCCACCAAGGCGACGAUGCGUAGCCGACCUGAGAGGGUGAACGGCCACACUGGGACUGAGACACGGCCCAGACUCCUACGGGAGGCAGCAGUAGGGAAUCUUCCGCAAUGGGCGCAAGCCUGACGGAGCAACGCCGCGUAAGCGAAGAAGGCCUUCGGGUUGUAAAGCUUAUUCACUCGGGAAGAGCGGGUGGGAGAGGGAAUGCUCCCACCGAGACGGUACCGGGAGAGGAAGCCCCGGCAAACUACGUGCCAGCAGCCGCGGUAAU
rnacentral:rRNA from 1 species